ACUCAAAGGAAUUGACGGGGGCCCGCACAAGAGGUGGAGUAUGUGGUUUAAUUCGAAGCAACGCGCAGAACCUUACCUGGUCUUGACAUCGUGAGACAUCCGCAGAGAUGCGGCUUUCCCUUCGGGGACUCAUAGACAGGUGCUGCAUGGCUGUCGUCAGCUCGUGUUGUGAAAUGUUCGGUUAAGUCCGGCAACGAGCGCAACCCCUGUUCUUAGUUACCAGCAUUAAGUUGGGGACUCUAGGAAGACUGCCGGUGUUAAACCGGAGGAAGGCGGGGAUGACGUCAAGUCCUCAUGGCCCUUACGACCAGGGCUACACACGUACUACAAUGGUGGAAACAAAGAGUCGCAAAACCGCGAGGUCAAGCUAAUCUCAAAAACACCAUCUCAGUCCGGAUUGAAGUCUGCAACUCGACUUCAUGAAGUUGGAAUCUCUAGUAAUCGCAGAUCAGCACGCUGCGGUGAAUACGUUCCCGGGCCUUGUACACACCGCCCGU
rnacentral:rRNA from 1 species